rnacentral:rRNA from 1 species
AUCAGGAAUCUUGCGCAAUGGGGGAAACCCUGACGCAGCGACGUCGCGUGGAGGAUGACGGCCUUCGGGUUGUAAACUCCUUUUAGCAGGGAAGAGCAAGGACGGUACCUGCUGAAUAAGCCCCGGCUAACUCCGUGCCAGCAGCCGCGGUAAUACGGAGGGGGCGAGCGUUGUCCGAAUUUAUUGGGCGUAAAGCGCGUGUAGGCGGAUGUCCAAGCCUGAGGUGAAAGGUCGGGGCUCAACCCCGUACAGUGCCUUGGGGACUGGGCGUCUGGAGGCAGGCAGAGGAGAGUGGAAUUCCUGGUGUAGCGGUGGAAUGCGUAGAGAUCAGGAAGAACACCCAUGGCGAAGGCAGCUCUCUGGGCCUGUACUGACGCUGAGACGCGAAAGCGUGGGGAGCGAACGG